GACGAACGCUGGCGGCGUGCCUAAUACAUGCAAGUCGAACGCAGUGGGGACGGGUGAGUAACACGUGGGUAACCUCCCAUCAGAGGGGAUAACACUUGGAAACAGGUGCUAAACCGAUACUGAUGGAUGAACCCGCGGUGCAUUAGCUCGUUGGUGAGGUAACGGCUCACCAGGGCGACGAUGCAGAGCCGACCUUAGAGUGGGAUCGGCCACACUGGUCCUGAGACACGGCCAAUACUCCGACGUGAGGAAGCAGUAGGGAAUCGUCGGCAAUGGACGAAAGUCUGACCGAGCAACGCCGCGUGAGUGAAGAAGGUUUUCGGAUCGUAAAACUCUGUUGUUAGAGAAGCGGUAUCUAACCAGAAAGCCACGGCUAACUACGUGCCAGCCGCCGCGGUAAUAC
rnacentral:rRNA from 1 species